GUCUACGGCCAUAUCACCCUGAAUGCGCCCGAUCUCAUUUGAUCUUGGAAGCUAAGCAGGGUCGGGCCUGGUUAGCACUUGGAUGGGAGAACUCCUGGGAAUACUAGGUGCUGUUGGCU
ensembl:rRNA 5S_rRNA 5S ribosomal RNA